rnacentral:rRNA from 1 species
UGCGGUUAAAAAGCUCGUAGUUGGAUCUUGGAGUGUGAGUGAAUGGUCGAUCGAAAGAUUGUACUGUUCGGCACACUCUUCUCUUCGGUUGCGUGUGUAGUGCCCUUAACUGAGUGCUGCACUCGACCGGAAUUUUUACCUUGAAAAAAUUAGAGUGUUCAAAGCAGACCUUAUUAUGUCUGAAUAUUCGUGCAUGGAAUAAUAAAAUAAGAACUUGGUUCUAUUUUAUUGGUUUUCGGAACUCGAGUUAAUGAUUAAGAGGGACAGACGGGGGCAUCCGUACUCUGCCGUUAGAGGUGAAAUUCUUGGAUCGGCGGAAGACGCGCAACUGCGAAAGCAUUUGCCAAGAAUGUUUUCUUUAAUCAAGAACGAAAGUCGGAGGUUCGAAGACGAUCAGAUACCGUCCUAGUUUCGACUGUAAACUAUGCCAGCUAACGAUCAGACAGCGUUCUCUACGACUUGUCUGGCAGUUUCCGGGAAACCAAAGCUUUUGGGUUCCGGGGGAAGUAUGGUUGCAAAGCUGAAACUUAAAGGAAUUGACGGAAGGGCACCACCAGGAGUGGAGCCUGCGGCUUAAUUUGACUCAACACGGGGGAAACUCACC